rnacentral:rRNA from 1 species
GACGAACGCUGGCGGCGUGCUUAACACAUGCCAGUCGAACGGAAAGGCCCUGCUUUUGUGGGGUGCUCGAGUGGCGAACGGGUGAGUAACACGUGAGUAACCUGCCCUUGACUUUGGGAUAACUUCAGGAAACUGGGGCUAAUACCGGAUAGGAGCUCCUGCUGCAUGGUGGGGGUUGGAAAGUUUCGGCGGUUGGGGAUGGACUCGCGGCUUAUCAGCUUGUUGGUGGGGUAGUGGCUUACCAAGGCUUUGACGGGUAGCCGGCCAGAGAGGGUGACCGGCCACAUUGGGACUGAGAUACGGCCCAGACUCCUACGGGAGGCAGCAGUGGGGAAUAUUGCACAAUGGGCGGAAGCCUGAUGCAGCAACGCCGCGUGCGGGAUGACGGCCUUCGGGUUGUAAACCGCUUUCGCCUGUGACGAAGCGUGAGUGACGGUAAUGGGUAAAGAAGCACCGGCUAACUACGUG